rnacentral:rRNA from 1 species
UUAUAAUAUUUUAGUACGAAAGGACCAAAUAUUAAAAUAAUUAUAUUUUAUAAAUGAAUAUUAUUAAUUAA